GAGGCCGUGAGGGUGACUGCGUUUUUUUGUAUGAGAGUCUGUCCUGCUCCUGGUAGCGAGCGGCGGAGCGGAAGACGGUCAGCGCAGGCCGCAGGUGGCAGGUGACGGAGAGGAAGACGGCAUCGUCAGCGCCGACGAAGUCAUCUCCCCCAACUCUUCAAGAGCCCUUCCCAGGAGGCGCUAGUACUGACAGUCCUUCCCAGCGGCUAUAGCAUGCAGUUUCUUACCUUGCAAUGGAUCGAUCAUAUUCUAAUUUUCUGCCAGCAAGUUUUUCUGUCGAGACCAUGCAGAUGGUAUGUGCGCGCGCGUCUCAAUCCAUGUGCAUCGAGGGAGCCGUGCGAUCAUACGGUUCAUCGGACAGGCGUUGUGUGCAUGGUAUGAGUUAUGAUACAAGAUUGGAGGAUUGCUGAGGAUCAAUAUAUAAUGCAUGAAGAUGGUGUAGUGCAUGCAGAUGGUAUGUGUGCGUGUAUGUCUCGAUCCAUAUGCAUCGAGAGUAUCGUGCGAUCAUGCGGAUCACUGGGCAGGCGCUGUGCUGUAUGAGUUAUGGUAUAAGAUUGGAGGAUGACCAAUGGAUUUACUUAUCAACAUGCUGUACUUUUCUCAUCCAAAGAUACACAUCCUGUACUUUUCUCAUCCUUAUCAGCAUAAUUGAUUUACUUUAAGCAUAAAA